rnacentral:rRNA from 1 species
GACGAACGCUGGCGGCGUGCCUAAUACAUGCAAGUAGAACGCAGUUGCGAACGGUAGCGUAACGCCUAGGUAACUGCCUGGCAGCGGGGGAUAACUAUUGGAAACGAUAGCUAAUCCCGCAUACUACCAGCUGGACCUGCGUUGUAUUUGCUAGGUGGUGGGGUAACGGCUCACCAAGGGAACGAUACAUAACCGAGCUGAGAGGGUGAAUGGCCACACUGGGAAUGAGGCACGGGUCCAAAUCCUAAGGGGAGCAGCAGUAGGGAAUCUUCGGCAAAUGGGGGAACCCUGACCGCGCAAAGCCGCGUGAGGGAAUGAGGGUUUCGGGUCGUAAAGCUCUGUUGUGUAGGGAGCGGUACUUAACCAGUAAGGGACGGCUAACUACGUGCCAGCAGCCGCGGUAAUAC